CAUUGCUACCCCUUCUGUUGAUUACAGGCGAGUCACAAACCUGCUUACAUGUGCAGGGACUGUGUACAUAUACGCCUGUCAGUUGGAGGAGUGCCAAGUUUACAUCGUAGAAGCAAGGAUGUGUGAGAUGGAAGAUACGUUUUUUCCCAGCUGUGGCCAGAUAAUCAGAUAGAUGGCAACAUGAGAAGGACUCGACCUGCUGGUGCUGUUGGCUUUGAAGACAGAGGAAGAGGACCAUGAGCCAAGGAAUAUGGGCAGCCUCUAGAACAUAGAAAAGGCAAGGAAAUGGAUUCUAAGAGUCUUCAGAAAGGAACACAUUUUUGCUAACACUUUACUUUUAACCUGAAAAGAUCCUCUUCAGAAUUUAGAUCUAGAUAGCUGUAAGAUAAAAAAUGUUGGCGUUCUUUUAAA